rnacentral:rRNA from 1 species
UACGUAGGUGGCAAGCGUUGUCCGGAAUUACUGGGCGUAAAGAGCGCGCAGGCGGUCGUUCAAGUCGCGUGUGAAAGCCCCCGGCUCAACUGGGGAGGGUCACGCGAUACUGAUCGACUCGAAGGCAGGAGAGGGUAGUGGAAUUCCCGGUGUAGUGGUGAAAUGCGUAGAUAUCUGGAGGAACACCGGUGGCGAAGGCGGCAUUCUGGACUACAACUGACACUGAGGAACGAAAGCCAGGGGAGCAAACGGG